rnacentral:sRNA from 1 species
UUGCAUGAGGGAUAGCAGUGGAAAUCCUUUUGUUUUUUUCUUUAAAAAACAAAAGAUUGAAACGAAUAGCCCGACCCGCU